GCCACCCCAUUUUUGGCCGAUCUGGGGUGGACCAUCAAGCACGAAGAAGCUCAACCAUCAAGCACGAACUCCGAUCCCAACGGUCAGACGCUGAAGUUCGCCGUGGCCAUCUCUCUUCUCCGAUUGAAGCUUCUUCAAAUCCAGUCCAAUCCUUCUGAGUCCGACGCUCUCUCCGAUGGAAGCGAAAGGCUAAGGAGCGAAAGCAAGAGAUACUGAGACUCAAAGAAGAUCUCAAGGAGGCCGAAGGUUCUCAAAUUUCUCUAUCUCUCUCGGUCCCUUAGAUCGUUUGAUUUAGGUUUUGUGAUGUGUAUUUUGCCUUCAGAUGCUACGCAGUGCGAUAUGUGUAACAGAUUUAUUAUCUGUUUAGGAAUUUAGGGUUUUUAUUUCAGAAUUGUAAAAUGAAAUUGGAAUGGGAUUGAAUUGAUGAUCAACUGAGGAAGAUAAUGGAAGAAAAGAUAGAUGAUGAAUCUAAAAAUGGAAUUCAACUUAA